rnacentral:tRNA from 1 species
GCCUUCGUGGUGUAAUGGUCAGCACACUGAGCCGGUAAUUCAGAAGUCCGCGGUUCGAUCCCCGGCGAAGGCG